UAGCUUAGCCGCUUUACAAAGAGCCAAACAUAUAGUCGAAAGCCAAUAUGCUGUGGUGGGCUCUUGGGAUGAUGUUAAUGUCACCUUAAAUGUUUUGGAAAAUUAUAUACCACGUUAUUUCCGUGGAGCUACACAAAUGUAUUAUGCUAAAGACUCUGGAUUGUUUAAUGAAAAGCGUAAUGUCAACAGUUGGAAACCACCUAUAGAUGAGCAAAUUAAGAACAUAAUACGCCGUAAUUUUACCCGAGAAUAUGAAUUUUAUUAUUUUUGCAAACAACGUUUAUAUAAACAGUAUUUAGCUUUAGGAAAUUUAGCUUUUUAAGGUGUUUGAUUUAUAUUCCUUUAAAUAUUUGAUAUAUAAAUAAUUACAAACAAAAUACUUUUUCUAAACGGAAAUUUUGUAUUGCAAGCUUGACAUACAAAUGA